CCCAGACUCCUACGGGAGGCAGCAGUGGGGAAUAUUGCACAAUGGGGGAAACCCUGAUGCAGCGGCGCCGCGUGAGCGAAGAAGUAUUUCGGUAUGUAAAGCUCUAUCAGCAGGGAAGAAAUUGACGGUACCUGAGUAAGAAGCUCCGGCUAAAUACGUGCCAGCAGCCGCGGUAAUACGUAGGGGGCAAGCGUUAUCCGGAUUUACUGGGUGUAAAGGGAGCGUAGACGGCGGUGCAAGCCAGAUGUGAAAGCCCGGGGCUCAACUCCGGGACUGCUUUUGAAACUGUAUGGCUAGAUUGCAGGAGAGGCAAGUGGAAUUCCUAGUGUAGCGGUGAAAUGCGUAGAUAUUAGGAGGAACACCAGUGGCGAAGGCGGCCUGCUGGACGAUGACUGACGCUGAGGCUCGAAAGCGUGGGGAGCAAACAGGAUUAGAUACCCUUGUAG
rnacentral:rRNA from 1 species